GAUCCUGGCUCAGGAUGAACGCUGGCGGCGUGCUUAACACAUGCAAGUCGAACGGGGAUUAUUUUGACAGAGACUUCGGUUGAAGUCGUUAUAAUCCUAGUGGCGGACGGGUGAGUAACGCGUGGGUAACCUGCCUCACACUGGGGGAUAACAGUCAGAAAUGACUGCUAAUACCGCAUAAGCGCACGGGAGUUGCAUGAUCCAGUGUGAAAAACUACCGUCGGUGUGAGAUGGACCCGCCGUGG
rnacentral:rRNA from 1 species